CUUCUCCUAGACACUUCCUAAUUUGAAGCCCUACUUAGAAACAGAAGAAUGACAAGAGAUACUUCAGAGAAUGGACUAAGAACAACAUGGGAAAUCUGCUGAUUUGUGCUUCAUCUAAUGGCAAUAUAAUGUUUGGAUCAUACCCCAAGCCUCCAUGAAAGCCAAUCCCAAUAUAUGAAACCUCCAACAGAGAAUGUAGUCCUGAUCAUAACUGCAAAAUCUGACAACAACCAAAUGUUCAUCAACAAUAGAAUGGAUAAAUACAUGUGGUAUAAUCACACAGUGGAAUCUUAUUCAGCAACGAAAAUGGGCACACUAUAGCUGCAACAUGAUGAAUCUCAAGCAUAAUAUUAAGUGAAAGAAGCAAGUCAUGAACAUAUUUACAAUAUUAUCCCAUCUAUAUGAAGUCCCAAAGUAGGUAAGACUAAACUAUAUAAAAUUCAUAUAGAGGUGAUAGAAAUCAGAUCAAUAGUUGCCUGUAGCAGGGGUAGGGAUGGUCUAUAAAGGGGCACAAGGGAACUUUCUGCGGUAAUUGAUAAUGUCCUAUAUCUUGAUUGUGGUGUUGGUCACAGGGAAGGAGAUGGUCAAAACUCAUUGAACUGUACAUAUAAAAUGGGUGCAUUUUCUUAUAUGUAAAAUGUGCUACAAUAUGGUUGAUGUUUAAAAUCAAGGAAAUGAAUGUCACAACUAUCAGAGUAAUGCAUAUAUCUAGUGGAGGAGGGAGAGGGUAUGAACAGAAAGCAGAUAUCUGGGGUACUGGCAAUGUUCUAUUUCUUGACCUCAUUGGUAGCUAUAUAAAAAUUGCUUUAUGAUUAUUAUGUAAAUGGUACAUAUAUGUUUUAUGUAGUCUUUUCCAUGUGUAUCUUACAAUUAAAUGCAUGUGUGUGUGUGUGUGUGUGUGUACAAUUAAAUAUAUAUGCAGUGGAGUAAUGUCUAUGGAAUUUCAAGACAGAAAAUCAAUGUCCAAGAAUGCUCUACCUUGUAGACAAAAACAGAAAGAUAUUUCAAAAAUGCAAGGACUCCAAAUGUGCAUUAUCCAUUUAUACUAUGUUAAAAAAAAAAAAGUCUCAAAGUACUCCACCCAACCGAGAAGUCAAUCCAAAGAAUUGAAAUUUGAAAAAGAUGUGGGUAUAAAGGAAAUAACAGUAGAAAAUCUGUUAAACUUUAGAAUCUAUGUCUAAAUCAUCAUUAUUAAUAUGGUUAUUACAUUUAUUGAAAAUGCUAGAGUUUAAUAUUUGGAAGAAGACACACGUAAUUUUUUUUAAAUUAAUAAACGUAAGCUUCUGGGUCUCAAAGCCCAAAGCAUCACAGAUAUUUCUCACUUCCUGUGGAGAAAGGGAAGGGAAUGGUGGCCAGAUCCGUGAGUUCUGUUCAACCAUCAAAAGGUUUGGGCCUUUCUUCCUGGCAGGAUUCUGCCUGUAAGUGGAAAAUCAAAUAUUCCAGUCAGGAGCUGAGUGAGAAAUUGGCAGUGCAGGGAUAAGAUCUGAAGUUUCUGAGAAAAGUGUGGGCUGGGCAGACCUAGAGCAUCUCAGGGAGACAGGAAACUGCAGAACUGCAACACCCAGGAGGGGCUAGGCAGGCGUCCCGAUUAUAACAAUAACUGCUUCUCUUCCCCAAGCACAGUGCUAGCGGGUUCCCCAAAAUUAUUUCUGAAGUUCACAGCAAAGCUGUAAGGCAGUUACCAUUAUUCCUACUUUGUAGAUAAGAAGACAGAGGCAGAGGGAGGUCCUGAUACCAGACUUCAUCAAAUCAAGUUCACAAACUCCAAUCUGGUUUGUUAUCCUUUGGGAUUUGGGGGGAAAGCCAGUAGAGGAAGCAGCAAACUGACCAAGAGCUUAGUGACCAAGAAGUAGGGAGAUCACUUUCCCAAAAGGAAGCACAGCCUCUUCCCCACCUCCAUCACCCCAAUGUCUUACCAAUGCUUUGCAGUUGGGGGCCACAGGCUGCACAAUCCACAGCAUGGCUUCUAUGACAUGGGAACUACCAUCCAGUGUCUACCCACUGCCCAGAGCCACUCUGCCAGGGGACGGCAGGAGGCCCUUAGGGCUGGGGCCUGCCCAUCUCCACCAAAAACUGAAACACAUGCAUUUGGGGAAUGUCCCCAGCUGCCAUAGGGGAAGAGGCUUAGUUUCCAGAAGACAAGACUCCCCUUAUUAUUAUCUGCUCCACCACUAGGGAGGAGGUAGAAAGCUGGGGCAGUCCAAAGAGGAGCACAGACAACAUCAUUAGGGAAAUGCUAGCCAUCAAGGAAUGCAAAUCAAAACCACGGCGAGACACUGCUUUAUACCCACUAGAGUGGCUAGCAUCAAAAAGUCUGAGAGUGAGUCUUGACAAGGAUGUCGAGAAGUCAGAACACCCAUAUACCUGUUCAUGGGAAUGGAAAGUGGUGGAAAACAGUCUACAAAUUCCUCAAAGGAUUCGAAGGAAGUGAAAGGACCGGGUCAGGGAGCUGGAGCCACACAAGAGAGCUGCCUCCCAAAGACAGGUGUCUGGACCUCUCCUCCACUUUCAGCAAUUGUACAGUAAUAAGUUAUUACCAUAGAGAUAGUGUCUCCAAAGUGGAGAGGCAUGGUGUCCUCAAACCAGUCUCGAAUCCAGACACCAGAGUGUAGACAAUGCAGACGUUGCUGGUGGUUUUGAAAGAAAAUGAGGAAACUUUUGAAGUCUGAUUCAUUGGCUUCCUUGCUGUCAAAUUUUCACCAAAUUUUCCAGGUUCUGGGGUAAACAUACACUUAACCUGACAGGUUGCUGUGCAAAAUGACUGCACUGGGCUAUUGAGUCUCAUCCUUGCAGCCAGGGUCUACCACCAGAAACUGUUUCACUAAGCAGAGCAAAGUUUUCACAAACUGGGUGAUGGGACUUCCCCCUUUGAUUCUGGCCAGCAAAUCCCAGACUUUAGCCUCUACUACAAAGCUGUAAUCAUCAAGACAGCAUGGUAUUGGCGCAAAAACAGACACAUAGACCAAUGGAAUAGAAUAGAGACUCCAGAAUUGGCCCCACAAAUGUAUGGCCAACUAAUCUUUGACCAAGCAGGAAAGAAUAUCCCAUGGAAAAAAGACAGUCUUUUUAACAAAUGGUGCAGGGAGAACUAGACAGCAACAUGCAGAAGAUUCUGGCCAGCAGUUUGGCAUGGAUUUGUUCAGUCCGGUAAAAAAAAAAAAAAAUAGUAAUUCCUCAAAUCUUACUGAAAUCCCUCUGUCUAGACUCUCCAGUGCAGCUCAAGACCAAUUCAGGAUCCUUUGUUUGGAUCCUCAAGGGCAACAACUGGGGCUGCCUACAGGACCUUCUGGUGCGUGAUCAACAGUCACUUGCUGCCUGCACACGUCCCAGUGGAUCCUGGAUGCCUGGUGGCUGCACACCCAAGUCGUUGCUAAUUCUGCCUUACAGUGGCUCAUUCACCUGACCACUCACAUUACUGCUGCCCCAGUCACCCUCCCCGGCCCCAAGACAGGUUGUGCCACUCCAUUGGGCCUCUUGAGAAUUGGGGUCUACUCCUGUGAGGCCCUGCACACCCAAACACCAGGCCUCAGGCUUGUCCUUACUUUGUUUAUCAUGGGAAGCUUGGCUGUUGUCCCCCUUAACCACUGGCCUCCCACUGCUGAGGAGAGUACACCUGUCCCUCCCUGGCACCUCUGUAGCCCCCAGUUUCUUCAUAAGGAUGGUGGUAUCCACCUCCUAAGGACUGUUGUUAGGAAUAAAUGAGAUCAAUGAUGUCAAGUGCUAGGCACAGACCCUGGUGUCAUGUUAGCAACUGCUAUCACAAGUGCACACACACACACCUGUGGGCUGACAAAAUGCCCCACCCCAGCCUGUGCCGUGCAGUGGUAGCCAUGGUCUCGAUAUCCUCCCGCCCAUCUGCUUAGGUGGUGUGAUCUCAUGGGACCUGUGUGUGCCUGAACUUCCUUCAUCGUUUUCUCUACCUCCUCCUCCCAGGGAAGAUUCAGUAAGUGACAAGUCCCAGCCCCAGUCACCUGAAGGCAGAGAGGGGGCCGAGCUACAAAUAGACCGGUGGUCCUGUCUCCCUAGCCCCAGAACACCCAGAUCCUUCUCGUCUGACUUCUGGCCUAAGAGUUCCAGCCCUGGAUACUGUCACUUCCUGUCCAUAUUUUGUUAUCUGCUUCCUUCCUCUGCUACUUCUUCAUUUUAAGCUGUAAAGUUAUCAGGAAAGGGGAAGGACCUGCUGAAAUAGAGAGUGACCCAAAACCACAGCCACAAGGGGAGUUUGAUGGCACCAUGUUCCCUCACCUGCUGAGGCCCCACCCAGACACGGCAGAGCGCACCCAUCCCUGGGAGGCCAGUUACCCCUCCAUCUCAGGCUGUCCUCUGCUUUCAACCCUAUAGCUUUUCCACAACUCUAGCCCUGCCCUGUGGGAAAUGCCUGUCCACUGUGGUCACACACAGGUCCUCUUGGGGGAUGGUUUCUGGUCCAGCUAUAACCAAGGUUUACAUUCCUCCACAGUUCAAAUCUUAACCUAGAUGCCCUUUUUGGUGUCACAAAGAGGAGGGGGGAUGUAUACCAGUCUUAAAGUUCUAGAGGUUGGAAGUCUGAAAUUAGUUUUGCAGGAUCAAAGUCACAAUGUCAGCAGAGCUUCAUUCCUUCUGGAAGCUCCAGGGCAGAAUCCACUUCCUUGACUUCUUCCACCUGCAUGUGGCUCAUGGCCCCACAUCACUCCACCCUUGGCUCCCAUUAUCAUAUCUCUUUCUGUGACUCUGACCCUCCAGCUUCUGUUUCAUAGGAACCCUUACAAUAAUAUUGGGCCCACUGGAUAAUCCAGGAUAAUCUCUCCAUCUCAGGAUCUUUAACUUAAUCACAUCUGUAAAGUAUUUUUUUGCCAUAAAAAGUAAAAUACUCACAAGUUCUUUUGGGGGUUACAAUGGGGACAUCUUUGGGGGUGCCACUGUUCUGCCAAAUAAUGGAGUUAAGGGAGGGAUGAAGAGAGCCCGUUCCCUUCCUUUCAUAAUAACAAGCUCCUCUUUUACCCCCUAAACACCUUUUCAUUCUGCACAAGGGGUCCCAUGAUCUCCCACUAGUUUGGUGAUUCACUGGAAGGACUCAAACAACUUAACAAGUUAUGGUCAUGGCAAAGGCUUCUUAAAGCAAAAGAUACAGUAAAGGAGUAUCAGGAAUCUUAUCCAUGAGCAAACACUAGAGGUGGGGUUGGAGGCUUCUCUGCAAGGGCCAUGGGAAUGGGCACUUCUCUCUGGCUGCCAACUAAAUGUAUGUGGGAGAUGUAUCCACCCAGGGAAGCCCACUUCAGUUUGGAGGCAAGAGUUCUUAAAGAGAGUUGAUAAAGUACCUACAAUCCAGGCACCAGCAUCUUCAUGAUGACAUGGAACAAUGUUGACCACCCACUCCAUCCUGACCCACUGUCUCGGGUUUACAGAAUAAUUUCACUCAUUGGUGACAAUGUGAGCAUUCCAGGAGUUAAGUCAUUAAACCUAAACCUAACCCUAACCCUAACUCUAACCUGGCCAAGUGUCACUGACAUGGCCCUGGGCAUUCCUAGAGAUAAGUAAGAGCUGAAUGAAAGAGACACACUGCAUUAAACCUUUCUUUGCACACUCCUCAAAUGGAGCAUGUGCAUUGACCUGUCUCUGCCUCCUGCCCUGAUGGGGUAAUCCUGGAUUCACCAGUGACUUCCCAUCACUGCAACCAACAUUUCUGUGCAUGUUCUGUGUGUCAACACUGUGCUAGAGCCUGAGAAGGCAGAAAGAUAAACCUUCAUUCCUGGUCCUACUCUUAGGCAACUCAUGGGAUCAAAGUUACCUACUGCUGCAUAACAAAUUACCCCAAAACUUAGCUUAAAACAAUAAUAUAUACUAUUACACAGAAAUUGUGCAUGACUUUGUUUACAGGGUUUGCAGAAGGCUGCAGUGUUGAAUGGGACCGCAUUCUCAUCUGAAGGCUCAACUGAGGAUGGGUCAGUUGCUAAGUUCAUUCAUGUAGUUGCUGGCAGGAUUCAGUUGCUCACAGACCAUGGAACUCAAGGCUUUUAUGGAUAUUGGUGAGAAGCCCCCUCAGUUCCUUGCCAUAUGGUCCUCCCAACAUGCUCGCAACAUGGCAUCUGGCUUCCAUCAUAGCAAAGGCUGGUACAAUUCAUUAGGCUACAGGCACAGAUGGAGAAGCAAGUGUUGGAGAAAAGAGCUGAGGGGAAAUCUGAACCCCAAGAUGAAUCCAGGGAGAACACCACAUGAAAACAAAGCAGAGAUCAGGAAUGCCAAAGAUUGCCAACAAACCACCAGAAACCCUCAGAAAGAGCCAACUCUGAUGACACCUGGAUCUUGGACUUUUGUCCUCCAGUACUGUGAGCCAAUAGAUUUCUACUGUUUAAGCCACUCAGUUGAAGAUACUUCAUUACAACAGCCCUAGGAAACUUACAUACUUCGAGAGAUAGAAGGUAAUGUCUCUCUGGACUAGAGGAAAGAAGGGGAAAUUGGGUUAUAGAAAAUAAAGGAAGCAAUCCCUAUCAAAAUAAUACCAGCAUUCUUCACAGAACUAGAAUAAACAAUCCUAAAAUUUAUAUAGAACCAGAAAAGACCCCAAAUAGCCAAAGCAAUCUUGAAAAAGAAAACCAAAGCUGGAGGCAUCACAAUCCUGGACUUCAAGAUGUAUUACAAAGCUGUAAUCAUCAAGACAGUAUGGUACUGGCACAAAAGCAGACAGACCAAUGGAACAGAACAGAGAACCCAGAAAUGGACCCACAAAUGUAUGGCCAACUGAUCUUUGACAAAGCAGGAAAGAAUAUCCAAUGGAAUAAAGACAGUCUCUUCUUCAGCAAAUGGUGCUGGGAAAACUGGACGGCAACAUGCAGAAAAAUGAACCUGGACCACUUUCUUACACCAUCCACAAAAAUAAACUCAAAAUGGAUGAAAGACAUAACAUAAGACAGGAAGCCAUCAAAAUCCUAGAGGGGAAAUCAGGAAAAAACCUCUUUGACCCCAGCCACAGCAACUUCUUACUCAACAUGUCUCCAGAGGCAAGGGAAACAAAAGCAAAAAUGAACCAUUGGGACCUCAUCAAAAUAAAAAUUUUCUGCACAGCAAAGGAAACAAUCAGCAAAACUAAAAGGCAACCAACAGAAUGGGAGAAAAUAUUUGCAAAUGACAUAUCUGAUAAAUGGUUAGUUUCCAAAAUCUAUAUAGAACUUAUCAAACUCAACGCCAAAAAAAAAAAAAAUCAAAUAAAAACCCAAAUAA